rnacentral:lncRNA from 1 species
GUACUGCUGGGGCCGCUCCAGGGAGAAGACUCUCCCUUCCACCGCUUUUCUCCCUCGCCGGUUUCCUGGACCACCCUUCCUCCCCACCGCCCGGUUGCGGUAACUCAGUUACCGCGCUGGGCUGCGGUUCCCAGGAGGGAGGGUUCGGUUGGAGAACGCAGUCCCUUCUUCAACAUUUCCCUAUCCUGGAGCUGCCCUGGGUCUCCUUCCCUCCUCCCUCAGUUCCCUCUUCCCCAAUCUAGGAGAUGAGCUAGGGCUACACUUUCUAGAAAAAUACCUCACCCCACUUCUCCACCUUCCCAGCCUGCCAGGAGCUCCUUAGCCGCCGCCUGCUCUCUCUUCGCCCCAGCUUUUCUAGGGAAAGCUUGGCCCUGCGCUUCCCCCAGAAAGCAUGCCUGGGUGAGGGGCCAGGUGACACUUCCUACGAUCUGGAUUUUAAAAUAUGUUUGCUUAUGCCUUCACCCUCCACCAACCCCCACCCCGCACGCCACCUCUUCACCAGAGACGACUUUGUGAGGGCCCGGUUUCACAUUUCUGGAAUGGGUGAUCUGGGACGCGGCUCAAUUCCCUAGAGCAUAAGGAGGGAAUUGCGCUUUUUCUUCUUCAUUCGAGAAAUGAUCGGCUCCCGCCAGUCUGCGUGCUUUCACUCAACAGCAGCUGCAAGCCCUAGGCCAGCGUCGCAGAAACGGCCAGGAACCCCACUUUCCUACCCGGGGGCCAGCAGCGAUCGCUGGGGCUAGCAAGCGUGCAGAGGGGGAAAGAAGGAAAUCGGCUUCCUUCCCGGACCCCUCCUUCCUCUUCCUACCAGGAAGGGAAAAGGCUAUAUCCGCGUUACGAAAGCGAGGAGAGGUCCACCAACAGGUCCUUAGGAAAAAAAACUGAGUGGCUCUUCUCUCCAAAAAGUGGGAGGGGCUCAAGGACCCAGAGGAAGGACGUGUUUCACAGGCGGAAAGCCGCGGGGACAAUGGCGAGAGCGACCGCCCUAGCCCCGGGCGGACCCGCAACCCUCACACUCGCGCGCCCCCGCGUUAGUGCUCGAACUGGUCUCCGCCUUUCCGCCCCACUCCCGUCCGGUCUCUUGGUUGGCUCCAAGUAGAUCUGGGUCCUUUCCUCGCUCCUCCCCAGAUCUUCCCCACUUCAGUUGGCCCCAGCCAGAAGCGUCCCUUCUAGUUCUCCCACACGUCCCUCUUACAAGCUUUCUUUUCCGGAUGCUUUCCAACUUCUUUUUUCCUAGCGAGAUUGCUUACUUGAAAAACAAAAACAAAAACAUUGCUUUCCACUCAUCAGGAAAAAUCAAAUGAGCAAGAAUGGCAGAGAGAAGCAACUCAGCUUACUUCUGAAGGGCUUAGUAACGACCUCUAGUCCCUACACAUUUAGGAGUGGGUGGUUUCGUAGAUUUAAUUUUGGUUUCCUAAAAUCACCCUCAUCGUUGAACGUUGAAUAAUCAACCAAGGCCUUAGAUAUAUUUUGACAGCGCUCGAUUAACAUUCUGAUAGUGUUUCUGCCUACCUCUUUUCACUGAGUCUCUCCUUUGCAGCCCUCGCUGUCUCUCCCCCCCUCCCGCCGUUGCAUUUCUCCUUCAAACUCAACAUUGACAUCCGCACACCUGAGUGUGUGAUUCCUUUCUGCAUUGUCAAGCAUUGUCCAGCCUACCUCCUUCUCUUCGACUUCGAACUACGAGGAUUAUUCCUUCCUGUUUCUCUGUUUCCCAAGCGUCUUUUCCCAAACAUCUGAUCAUUCCUACUUCCCAGUUUGGUUUUCAGACUUUUUUUUUUAACAUUGUUAUCUUCUAUUACAGUAAUUUUUUGACGGUCCAUUUUCUAUGAUUUCAUUUCAUUUUACUGGUUCUUUCUAGCUAGAAAAAAGGCAAGAUACUUGAGAGAACAUAUGAGGAAAGUCAUGUUAGACUUUCAAGAUAUUGACCGCGGGAUCACAAAAGCUUGAAGGCAAAGCCAUCCGUACAUUUUCAACCUCUUGCUUAGAAAAGGGCUCAGAAGAUAAUAUAUGGUGACAACAGUUACAGCCUCAGAGUGGCUUUGAGAUGGAGAUUUGAGAUGGAGAUUUUGGACACUCAUAAUCUCCAUCUCAAGGAGAGGUGGCCCAGAGGCUGAAUGAAGAUGAGUGAAGGUAGAUGUGAUUCCCUUAAAUUGGGGCAAAAAGGGACAAAAACAGCAGAAAAUCUGUAUCUUUAAAGACAUAUGUAAUGUAUUUCAGUCUAUCAACUUCUCUACAUAAACUUUAGCUUUUAAAAAUAUGUUAACGUAAGUUUGACCUUUAGU